UACAGAGGUCUCGAGCGUUAGGCGGAAUCACUGGGCUUAAAGCGUGUGUAGGCGGAUCGGUAAGUACCUUGUGAAAUCCCACAGCUUAACUGUGGAACUGCUUGGUAUACUGCCAGUCUUGAGCCAGCUAGGGGCUACCGGAACAAAUGGUGGAGCGGUGAAAUGCGUAGAGAUGUGGAGGAACACCAGUGGCGAAGGCGGCUCUUUGGUCUGUAACUGACGCUGAGGCGCGAAAGCGUGGGGAGCAAACAGG
rnacentral:rRNA from 1 species